UACGGAGGAUCCGAGCGUUAUCCGGAUUUAUUGGGUUUAAAGGGUGCGUAGGCGGCCUGUUAAGUCAGGGGUGAAAGACGGUAGCUCAACUAUCGCAGUGCCCUUGAUACUGAUGGGCUUGAAUGUACUAGAGGUAGGCGGAAUGUGACAAGUAGCGGUGAAAAUGCAUAGAUAUGUCACAGAACACCAAUUGCGAAGGCAGCUUACUAUGGUAUGAUUGACGCUGAGGCACGAAAGCGUGGGGAUCAAACAGG
rnacentral:rRNA from 1 species